UACGAAGGGGGCUAGCGUUGUUCGGAAUUACUGGGCGUAAAGCGCGCGUAGGCGGCUUUGCAAGUCGGGUGUGAAAUCCCCAGGCUUAACCUGGGAACUGCAUUCGAGACUGCAUUGCUGGAGUAUGGGAGAGGGAAGUGGAAUUUCUGGUGUAGCAGUGAAAUGCGUAGAUAUCAGAAGGAACAUCAGUGGCGAAGGCGGCUUUCUGGACCAAUACUGACGAUCAGGUGCGAAAGCGUGGGGAGCGAACAGG
rnacentral:rRNA from 1 species